rnacentral:rRNA from 1 species
UACAGAGGUGGCAAGCGUUGUUCGGAAUUACUGGGCGUAAAGGGCGCGUAGGCGGCCCUCUCAGUCAGACGUGAAAUCCCCAGGCUUAACUUGGGAACUGCGUCUGAUACUGGAGGGCUUGAGUGCGGGAGAGGGAUGUGGAAUUCCAGGUGUAGCGGUGAAAUGCGUAGAUAUCUGGAGGAACACCGGUGGCGAAGGCGGCAUCCUGGACCGACACUGACGCUGAGGCGCGAAAGCCAGGGGAGCAAACGGG